UGCCCUGUUAGGGCCUGGUUGUGCCUUUCUAGGCCUUCUGCUUAGUGGGGUGCAAAAGGUUCACGCUGUUCUUACUGUGGCAGGUAACAAUGUGAUGAGAAAAGCCCUCUGAAAGCAGGACUGCUGCCAUCGGAACCCUGAAUGGGAGGAAAAAGAAGUACUAAGCAUAGAUGGAGUCUGCCUUCAUUCUUUAUGCUUCAGAUAGCUGGAAAGAAAUGGAACUACCCAAAAGGACAGAUGUUCAAAAGGAAGACUGGAAUUCAAGGCCAGAGCCAGGCAGGGGAACUACAACUAAGUGGGUGUGAGAGAACAAGAGUUUAAGAAAAAUGUCGAGCACUUCUUAUCCAUAGAAGCAAAAUAAGCCACCUUUGAUUCCAUCACAAAUCGAUGGAGACAAAAGCUGUACUACAACUGCUUCAAGCUCCUCGGAAGCAGCUCACUAUCAGGCAGCCUUUGUGGGCUCACGCUGGGCACUCUGUGCCCUUAAGGCAAAACUCCUCUCUCCAGCUGAGAGAAGAAGCCACCAGCAGAUGGCGCAGGAGCCCCACGUGGCUGCAAGUUCCGCAGGCAAUUUCAAGACAUGGCAUCUCACAUGAUGUAACGGAGAUUCUCAAGUCUGAAGUCCAAAUGAAGAAUGCUGUUAGUUGGAAUGGAAGCAGCACUCCAGCUCCCACACAGGAGAUGAAGGCAAGCACAGAACCCUGCUAAGCAGGGGCAGGAAAAGGAAUUUGCUCUGGUUUAGGAGGAAAGAUAUGGAGCCUUGCCAAGCCACAUGGAGACAGUGUGAUGCAAGGCAGGUACCCUGGGCUCACCAAAACAGCUAGAAGUAGCCUGGUAUCUGUGCACCCUCUGCUGACACUGAUCAGCACAUGUGCUUUAAAA